GAUGAAGAACGCAGUGAAAUGCGAUAAGUAAUGUGAAUUGCAGAAUUCAGUGAAUCAUCGAAUCUUUGAACGCACAUUGCGCCCUUUGGUAUUCCGAAGGGCAUGCCUGUUCGAGCGUCAUUUCACCACUCAAGCCUGGCUUGGUAUUGGGCGCCGCGGUCGAUCCGCGCGCCUCAAAGUCUCCGGCUGAGCUGUCCGUCUCUAAGCGUUGUGAUUUCAUUAAUCGCUUCGGAGUGCGGGCGGCCGCGGCCGUUAAAUCUUUCACAAGGUUGACCUCGGAUCAGGUAGGGAUACCCGCUGAACUUAAGCAUAUCAAUAAGCGGAGA
rnacentral:misc_RNA from 1 species